AUACGGAGGGGGCAAGCGUUGUUCGGAAUUACUGGGCGUAAAGAGUACGUAGGCGGAUCGUUAAGUUAGAGGUGAAAUCCCAGGGCUCAACCCUGGAACUGCCUUUAAUACUGGCGAUCUAGAGAUCGAGAGAGGUGAGUGGAAUUUCCAGUGUAGAGGUGAAAUUCGUAGAUAUUGGAAAGAACACCAGUAGCGAAGGCGGCUCACUGGCUCGAUACUGACGCUGAGGUACGAAAGCGUGGGGAGCAAACAAGAUUAGAAACCCUAGUAGUCC
rnacentral:rRNA from 1 species